rnacentral:rRNA from 1 species
UACGUAGGGGGCGAGCGUUGUCCGGAAUGAUUGGGCGUAAAGGGCGCGUAGGCGGCCUGUCAAGUCAGUAGUGGAAGUCCAUCUUUCAAGGAUGGAAGUGCUACAGAAACUGAUGGGCUUGAGUGCAGGAGAGGUAUCGGAAUUCCCGGUGUAGCGGUGAAAUGCGUAGAGAUCGGGAGGAACACCAGUGGCGAAGGCGGGUCUCUGGGCCUUACCUGACGCUGAGGAGCGAAAGCAUGGGUAGCCAACAGGAUUAGAUACCCCCGUA